CAUUCCAUCUGGUUAGAGUCUUUAGCCUCAGGUUUUAUGCAGGUGGAAUGAAUUUUGUAAUGAACCACUUCCUGGAAAGGGAGAGAGGAACACUGGAUGGGUCACUGAUAAGACAAGCUGCUUUCCCAAAGGCAGUUACAGCCAAGUGAUAGAUAUUAUUUCAUACUUGUAAGUAACUUAGAACCUCUGGCCUGCUUGGUGAUCUUUUAAAAAGUAUAUCAGGGAGGGCAUGACUAAUCAGCAAGUGCAUAGGAAGCAGCCAGAGAGCUGUACCUCUGAGAAUGAGACUAGAGCACCAGAAAUACUACCUGAAGCAGUCUUUUUGGAAUGAGAGAUCUGAUCAAAUAUGUGAACAAUAAAUAGCUAUUGAACCAAACUUACAGCUGGCACAAGUGGACAAUGACUUCAGAGAUGACACCAGGGGUGAAUUUGGCCCAUUGGCUUCUGAUGAGUUGAGCAUUGAGAUUUAUUUCCUUGCGAGGUAACUACUGACGUAAUCUAAAUUGUAUUUAGUUUGUAAACAUAAAUGAUGUGCAGGGAAAAAAGCAUAUGUAUUGUUACACUAUUUCUGGAUGUUUUAAUCUGAAGUUGCUCCAUUAUGGCCAACUUUUUUUUCUGAACUUUUCCACUUUCUUUGGAACGAUAAUUUAGUAAAGAGAAAAAUAGAUUUUUCAAUCUAAUUGAUUAAUACUGCUAACCUUGAUGAAGAGGUGAAUGAUGGAAACUAUUGAUUCAUCAUGUCUAUACUCAGCCAAUUGUCAUUCAUGAGCCAGAACUUUCAUAUGGAACAGAAAGCAGCAUAUGGGCCAAAUCCAGUUCUCCUUACUCAUGUGAGUGGCACCACUAUGACAUAAAUGGUUCUAGCUGUGACUCUGAUUCUGAUUCAGACAACUUGCGCUUAAGGUGAUCUCAGUUCAAGAAAUCAUAUUUUAAGCAUGUGCUUAACUUUAAUGGGAUAUAAGCACGUGGUUAAAGUUAAGCAUGUAACUAAGUGCUUUCCUCACUGGGGGACUUGUGUCAGUUAGGAAAGCAGGAUUUGGCCCUCCAUUAUGAAACAUGGAACUUAUUGUUUUCCCGCUUGGCUGUUAUAAGCCCAAACACUAAUGCUUUUCAAAAUGGUUAGCAUUUACAAUCCUGACUGCUAACAAAACGUAAUUGGUAUGGCCUAUUCAGUAAUUAAUCAUCUAGCUAAAAUCAAGGCAAUCAAAAGAUCCCCUUGAAUGGUCACAAAAUAACUGGGACCUCAGUCAAAGGCUCAAAGAUUUUGAGAAAUUAUUCUAAAUGUAAACCGAGUUCAGAUCCCAUUGGGGAGCUGUAACCUGCCUAAGAGGCUUAAUUAGACUAACUGCCUGGAAAAACAGCAUAAGGCGUACGGGUGAGUUCCUAUUGAAAAUUGUUUUAUGGGCCCUUUGAUAGCUCCAACAGCAUACACAUGAACUUUUAAGGAUCUUAAACUAAGCCUCUUGUUUAGUGCAUUAUUUCCUUAAGGAGAAUUUUAAUCACAGGAAGGGUUACAUUUACGAGCUUCAUAUUCUGACUUUAUUUUGAUUUGAUAACAUAUAAGUAGUAUGGGAAUUUGUCUGAAAAACUAACCUGAUAAUUUGUUGAAUAAUUUUGUCAGAGAAGUCUAAUAGCUUUUUGUAGAGUUGGUAUGCUUGGGAAUUUUUUUUAAUGUAGGAAUAUUAAGUAAAUAUUUGCUAAGGGAAAUUUUAUGGAGUAUGACGAUGAUGUAAGCUAUUAUGUAAGCUAAAGAAACCAAUAAUUUGCUAAUUUUUUCUCUACUAAUUUUUUUUGUGAAAAUGUUUUGUGAAAAAAACCUUUUCCACUUUUGCUGAUCAAACCAACAAAAUUGUGUUAGUGCUUUUAUGUGACUUGCUACAAU